UACGGAGGAUUCGAGCGUUAUCCGGAUUUAUUGGGUUUAAAGGGUGCGUAGGCGGACCAAUAAGUCAGUGGUGAAAUACAUCAGCUUAACUGCUGCACUGCCGUUGAUACUGUUGGACUAGAAUAUAAAUGGUGCAGGCGGAAUGAAUCAUGUAGAGGUGACAUUCAUAGAUAUGAUUCAGAACACCGAUCGCGAAGGCAGCUUGCAAAGAUAUUAUUGACGCUGAUGCACGAAAGCGUGGGUAGCGAACAGGAUUAGAUACCCUGGUAGUCCACGCUGUAAACGAUGAUAACUCGUUGUCGGCGAUAGACAGUCGGUGACUAAGCGAAAGCGAUAAGUUAUCCACCUGGGGAGUACGAUCGCAAGGUUGAA
rnacentral:rRNA from 1 species